rnacentral:sRNA from 1 species
CAGACCGACGAUACGAGUGGGACCGUGGUCCCAGACUAAUAAUCAGACCGACGCAGCGAGAGAGCGUUGCCGCAGGCAACGACCCGAAGGGCGAAGCGCGCAGCGCUGAGUAAUCCUUCCCCCACCACCA